GAGGUCAGCCCUAUAUCCUGCUGGCAAUAUUGCCGGCACCGAGAGAGGUGCCUUGGUAUGGAUCAAAUUCCUUUCAAGCAACCUUGGAAACAACUCUGCAUACCUCAUAGGAAUACGAUCAAUUUGAGUUCUUGGAGCCUGUUGUCGAGGUUGUUGUUGAUACUGUUGUUGAUAUGGUUAAAACUGAGGUUGAUAACCCGAGUUUUGAACAGGAUUUAUGAUAGGCAUAAUAGCGGCAGCAGGGUGAUAAGCCAGAUACUGUAGUUGAGGCUGACUUUCUACCACACUCAUUUCCUGAUCUUCAUACUCAUAAUCAUCAGUGGGAACACUUUCUUUGACCAAUUGUCCUUUUCGGACCCAUUCUUCAAUACGCAUGCCCACAGUCAUCAUAUUUGCGAAGCUGCCGGAUGCACUUGUAAGCAUAUGCUCAUAAUAGAACUGAUCCAGAGUUUCCAGGAAAAUCUCGGUAAAUUCUUUCUCUUCUAGAGGUGGACGGACCUGUGCAGCGACAUCUCUCCA
rnacentral:lncRNA from 1 species